UACGGAGGGUGCAAGCGUUAGUCGGAAUUACUGGGCGUAAAGCGUGCGCAGGCGGUUUUGUAAGUCAGAUGUGAAAUCCCCGGGCUUAACCUGGGAACUGCGUUUGAAACUACAAGGCUAGAGUGUGGCAGAGGGGGGUGGAAUUCCACGUGUAGCAGUGAAAUGCGUAGAGAUGUGGAGGAACACCGAUGGCGAAGGCAGCCCCCUGGGUUAACACUGACGCUCAGGCACGAAAGCGUGGGGAGCAAACAGG
rnacentral:rRNA from 1 species